rnacentral:lncRNA from 1 species
GUCAUGGCUAAAAAUAGAACACAGGGUAAAAUGCAGUUUUUGGCUUAUAUCUAAAAAACUCCAGCAUUUAGAGCAAAUAAGACUAGAAGUUAAAAUAUUUAUUAGGUCAAGGUCUACCUGUCCUGAAAUUUUCAAUUUGCAAUUUGCAAAAAAAAAUAAUUUGUUGUGCUACUUCCAAAAAAUAGAAAAUAUUCUGACCAGAAAAAAAACCAUGUCCCCCUACAAGUUAAAUGGUCCAUGCCUAACUGUUAUUAAUGAAAUCAUUUAACUGUUUUGCUGUUAUUGGAGCCCCUUGCCCCUUCUCAGCAGUGGAAUAAAUCCAAAUCAUGAAUGAAGAAAUUCGAAAGAAUAACAAUUUAAUAAUGUAACAAUAACAAUUUUAUUGUUAAAAUUCUUUUAUUGUAACUAUAAUGUAAUAAAAAUAACGUCCUGCCGCUCUUCUUGUAUGCAUAUUAUAUUAGAAGGAAACGUGUAAACAUGGUAGAACUUGUAUUUCUAAUAUUGAAGAAUUGUUAGCUGUACAUGUUUGCCUGGCAUGGUUCAAUAUGUUCAAUAAGGCAUUGUUUACCAGGUGAGCGAUUCAGGCUCUUGAGAGCCUCUUGUUCUAUUAAGUAUAUAUGAUAAAGUUCAUUUAUCAUGUUUAUAGAAAAAUAUAAAGAAAUCAUAUAUUAGAAAGAAAAAAAAGAUUUAUACUGGAGAGCCCCCUUAAUAUAAACAUAUUUUAUUUGUAAUCAUCAAAGGGAAUGAGACACAAGCUAAGACUUAUGAUGUCUUCUUUGGUAUCUUUUCUUGUCUACAUGAAAUUUUAUUUUGCUGUUAUCACAGUCCAGGCA